rnacentral:pre_miRNA from 1 species
UAUGAAUCUAGUGGAAACAUUUCUGCACAAACUAGAUUUUGGUACCAGUGUGCGGAAUUGCUUCUGCUACAUUUCUAGG